CCAGACUCCUACGGGAGGCAGCAGUCGGGAAUAUUGCGCAAUGGAGGAAACUCUGACGCAGUGACGCCGCGUGCAGGAAGAAGGUUUUCGGAUUGUAAACUGCUUUAGACAGGGAAGAAAAAAGACAGUACCUGUAGAAUAAGCUCCGGCUAACUACGUGCCAGCAGCCGCGGUAAUACGUAGGGAGCAAGCGUUAUCCGGAUUUAUUGGGUGUAAAGGGGGCGUAGACGGGAAAACAAGUUAGUUGUGAAAUCCCUCAGCUUAACUGAGGAACUGCAACUAAAACUAUUUUUCUUGAGUGCUGGAGAGGAAAGUGGAAUUCCUAGUGUAGCGGUGAAAUGCGUAGAUAUUAGGAGGAACACCAGUGGCGAAGGCGACUUUCUGGACAGUAACUGACGUUGAGGCACGAAAGUGUGGGGAGCAAACAGGAUUAGAUACCCCUGUA
rnacentral:rRNA from 1 species